rnacentral:rRNA from 1 species
AUGGUGGAGGGCUCCGUGUCCAACAUCGCCAACCUGAAGUUCCUCCUCCUGUGUUUCCAACAGAUGUCGGGACUCACCAUCAACUUCGACAAGAGCGGAGUGAUGGUCCUCGGCUACCCCCUGGACGAAGCUUUGUCCAUUGCGGACCGACUUAACUGCCGCCUGGGCACCUUCCCCACCACCUACUUGGGGGUGCCCAUUAGUCACUCCAGACUCACCGUCGGGGAUCUUCGCCCGACGGUGAUUAGGAUGCAGCACAGGGUCGAACCCUGGAGGGGACGCUGGCUGUCGAAGGCUGCCAGGGUGAUCCUAAUCAACUCCUCGCUGGUUAGCCUUCUCUGGUUUCUCAUGAGCUUCUACAGCCUGCAUGAGACCCUCCAUCAGGUGGUGGCCAAAUACCAGUCGAGGUUCUUCUGGGCUGGCAAGGGCGACAAGCAGAAGUACCAUAUGGUGAGCUGGCCCGACAUCUGCAAACCCAAAGACCAGGGGGGCCUUGCGAUCCUGUCCUCCCGACGCAUGAACAUUGUCCUCCUGACCCGAUGGCUGUGGCGUAUUGCCAAUGGGGAGGGAGGCCUCUGGCUC